CGUCACGGUGCUUCGCCCGGGCAAGUGUCCCCGUCCUCUGCCUCAGCUCAUAGGCAGGUGUACCACCAUGUUACACCCUACCCCAAACUGGAUUUUAGAGGAAAUGUAGAGGGAAGAUGCCUUUGCUGACAUACAUUCCAUCAUUUGUUGCAUUGGCAAGAAGGAACUUGAGCUGAAAAGAACUAUUUCCCACCAAUUUAGGUUCUUUUAAACAUUCCUACCACAGUGAGGACACAUGAAUAGAAGAAGACAAUUUCUUCUUGCCUCAGUUCUUGCUCUCCAGAAUUCUAGUUUUAUAUAUCCUUCAUGUCAAAAGUGCUUCUCUCGGAUAAUCCUGGUCUCCAAAAGGUCUAAUUGUCCAAAAUGUGGCUCUACUGGUGAAGCUGAAAAUGCCAGUUACAGAUAUAAGCUUGCCUUAAAAGUUGCAGAAUCAAACAAAUUAUUUGGUAUUACUGUAUUUGGAAGCUGCUUAGAUGCAUUUUUUGGUCUUACAGCCACUGGUUUGCACAGGUACAUUCAAGAUCCUAAUGAAAUUCCAGAAACACUGGACAGUGAUGCAACUCAGAACCUAUUAACUAAAGCAGUUGAAACUUGCUUUGUUGGACAGAGCUUUAUUUUUGGAGUAACGAAUUUUGAAAGCCAACAUGGACAAGGUUCAGGUUCCAGUAACCUCUUAGAGCAGUACUCAGACCACAAGAGAAAAGUUAAAGCGCUAGUAGCUUGCCAGAUUCUUCUACCAGACCCAGGUGUCGUAGGCUUCACUGUCAUUGACUAUUUCCAUCGGCUUUUGCAGCUUUCUGAUAUCAGGAAACUUCGCUGUGGCUCCCAGGCACCUAAUAGCCACUUACUUGCUUUCGAAAAUUCAAAUAGCGAUGUCAGCAGCAUAUGUGGCCCUGACAGCAGUUCUUGUUGUUUUGAGUCCCAUGGCAGAGAUGAUUUUUCAGGAUUCUGGCAGCUAUCACUUGAACUCACUUCCAUUGUUUCACAACUAACAGAUGAUGAUGAUUUUUCAGCUUCAGAACAAAGCAAGGCCAUUGAUACUCCUCACCAGAACAGAAUGUGCAUUUCCUCUGCAGAGGCCACUGGUUCCAAUAGCUGCCAUGAUACCAUUCAGGGUUUAUGGAGCCCUGCUUCUUAUAUGGAUAAAAAGAGUGCAGCACAAAAGCUGGGUGAAGAACUUGGCUUACAAGCUAAUCAGCCAAGUGCUGUUCAUAGCAAUCAUCAUGAAAUUGGAGUUCCUGGUUCUAAUUUAUUCCCUUUGAAAGUGCAAGAGCCCCUUGAGCCAAGUAAUACAAAAUCCUUCCACAGUGCAGUGGAAGUUAAAAAUAUAUAUUCCCAGCGUGAGCUAACAUGUCACCAGUAUCAUGAUGUAGAUACCCCCGCUAACUUUCAGGAGAGAUCUAUGUGUUGUCCACCUUCAUCACUCAGACUUGAAGAGAUAGCUGGGGGUUCUCAGGACUGUGACCCUGAGAUCUGGGCUGACCUUCCACUCUCUGAAAGCCUAAACAAAUUUCUGGCAGCUAUCGAAAGUGAGAUUGCUAUAACCCAGACAGAUGGCAGUAGCAGGAAAUGUCAUCUAGAUAAUGACAUCAGUAAAUUACAUGCAGACCACAGCAGGUUUUCCGUGACUCCACAGAGAACUACUAGAUCCUUGCAUACACCACCUAUAGGCUUAAGAUCACCACAAGCAACAGUCAAAGCAAACUCCAGCAAAAAUAACUUCCUUUCCAACUGUGAAGCAAAUCCAAGUCCUAGUGUUCAUAAGGAGUCACAACCAGAGAACACAGCAGAGACUAUCUCUAUAAGUAGUAGUGAAAGAGACGUUUCUGAAAAUCUUCUACCAAAUGUUUAUCUGUCAGCUCUGUUUCCAUCUUCAAAAGGCUCAGGCACAACAGUUACUCUUAAGUCUACCAGAAUUCCACCACAUGAGGCUGAAAUUUCACUUAAGCAUGAUACUUCAGAGACUGACCAUUCUUGUCUCAAUAGCAAAUAUUUUAAUGGAUGUGGAGAAAAAUCACUAUCCGAAAUGAGUGAAAAGUUGACAACUUUGAGUUCUAGGAGGUAUAAUGAUGUUUCCAACCUUCACAACUUAGAAAAUAAACAAUACUGUAGGCGGCCAAAGAACCAGGGUGACAGUUUGACAAUUUGCAGGAAACUCACAUAUCCUUUAGAAGCUCUUUGCAGUAUGCCAAAUAGAAGUACGAACACAUUGAAAGAAAUGUCUUAUGAACACACUGGUAAUAACCUAACACCAAACUGUUCUACUGGUCAUGAAGGUUGCUACAAUGCUUCUGCUGAUCUCUUUGACGAUAGUCCUAAAGAAAUGGACAUGGCAACAGAAAUGACCAAAAAGUCACAGGAUAUUUUGUUACAGUGGGGAAAGUCUUUGGCAGAAAGUCAUCAUACAGAAUCUGAUUUUUCAUUGAGAUCACUCUCUGAAAACUCCAGCCAGUCUUCACAAAAAUUAUCCUUGCAAAACACAUCUGCCUCUCUGUAUCCAAAAACAUGUCCCUCUCCACCUCAUUUUCAGUCAGAUUCAGAAUAUGAUUUUGAAGAUAGCCAAGACUUUGUUCCAUGUUCACAGUCAACUCCAGUUAUAGGAUUCCACCAAACUAGAAUUCAUGGAAUGACAGGAGCUUUCCAAAAAUUACCUGCCUUUUAUUUGGACCUUGAUGCUAACUAUAAAAAGACAAGGAUUUCCUCUGUAAAUGAUGCACAGCAAGCCACCCCUAGCUGUCCAAAAAAUAUAAAGACACCCAGCCAGAAAUCCAGAAGCCCUACUGCAUCUAGUAUUACACAACCAGAGAUCUCCAACAACUGUCCUGUUGCUAAGUACCUUGACACUGAUGUUGAUGAAUGGGUCCCUCCUACCACACAAAAAGUAUUUCCUUCAGAAAUGCUUGGAUUCCAGGCCGUGGGUCUAAGGAAAUGCCCUGCUGCUUAUAAUUCUCCUGAUCAAAAAGAGUUACCAAGAAAAAAACUGAAAUAUGUCAAACAAAGAACUGAUAAAUGCUUAAUUAAGAAAGAGUUAAAUUUGAAGAAUAUGCUUACAGCAGCAGAACCGAAAACUCCUGACUAUAACAGUACAGGGUUAGGCUGGAUUUUCAAAGAGUCGGUUUUGGGACUUGGUUCCCGUUCAGAAGUCAAAUGUUGCCUUGCAUUUUCAGAAGAUUGGUCACCUUCAGUGCCUGAAACUAAAAGUGCUUGGUCUCCUGAAUUGUUCUCAUAAAAUGUCACCUGAACCCAAUUUCUGAGCUUUUAAAGGCUGUAAUUACUGCACUGCCAAACUGUGAUCUCUUAGCCACACCCAGGAAGAAUAGUCAAGAGGCCCACGGAUGGAGCAAGAAGAGUAGUUUCAUUUGUUCAAGGAAUGCCCAUUCCUCCAUCAGCAUGGGUUAAGCCCAAACCUAGAGAGCACAAUGCCACUGUCAAUUGGAAAUGAGAGGACAUUGAUUGGAAGAGCCAGCUGGCAUAGCAGAGCAGCAGUCUUAAAAGGCCUCAGAUUAGAUGGGCCUGUCCUGACACACAGUGCAGAACCUGCAGAGAGGUGAUACAUUCUGAAGUAUUUUUAGAUGAAAUUACAUGAUAUGUGGGCCUUGCUGCAAAACAAUACAGAAUGGAGAAAAUGGGAAUAUAGAAGAAACAAGAUUGAUCAUGAG